GCCGUAGGGCGCGAGCGUUGUCCGGAUUUAUUGGGCGUAAAGAGCUCGUAGGCGGCUUGUCGCGUCGUCCGUGAAAACCCACAGCUCAACUGUGGGCUUGCGGUCGAUACGGGCAGGCUAGAGUUCGGUAGGGGAGACUGGAAUUCCUGGUGUAGCGGUGAAAUGCGCAGAUAUCAGGAGGAACACCGGUGGCGAAGGCGGGUCUCUGGGCCGAUACUGACGCUGAGGAGCGAAAGCGUGGGGAGCGAACAGG
rnacentral:rRNA from 1 species